ACUCCAAAUAAUUUCUUGCCCUAAUGUCUCUCAGCACCUCUUCUUCCCUUUUUCUCUAUAGCAGAAUCCCCUUUGUCUUCUUGCCCAUUUUCAUCUAAGGUUUCAACCUCUAUCAGCCAUGGAAGAGCAUUGUUUUUUCCAUUUCCGAGUAAGAAUCUGGGUCUAUAACAUCUCCUCAUCUCUCCUCUUUAAUUUAGUCAACACAAAAAACCAAAAUACUUUUCAAAUUUCUGAGAGAAAAUCAACUUUCAGAGAUUGGAUUUUGACUUGAAACGGCUCUUUGAUUUUCAUUUUGGAGCCAAAAAAGUUUUGAAAUCCAUAAACCCUAACCUAGCUCUCCAUCACCUAUAAAUACAUCUCAUUAGCAUUUGUUUAACAAGUUUUGGCCGCUGCCUCUCCCCCUCUAAACUUCCAAAUCCUUCAAAAAUCACUUCUUUCUUUUUUCUUCUCAGAUCUCUGCCCACUUUUAGCCGUGGAGGAGAUUUACUUGGCUUUAAUCGUGCUGUUUUGUUUGUGAGGAAGGUCGGAUUGCGUCGGAUCUAAGACCCCGCACCCCAGUUCAUUGCACCCAAAAAAGGUUCGUAACAUUAAAUUUCUUCCCCCUGUUUAUUGUUUUUUUUUUUUUUAUUUCUGCCAAGUAUGUGUUCAUUUGAAAAUGUGAUUUAUGGUUUAUUUUCCGUGUAGAAAACAUGAUUUUGUAGUUGUAUGUGUACAAAGAUCAUGAAAGGACUGUGUGUUCUGCUUGUGUAUGUUGAUCGAGCAAGGAAAAUAAGAUGUCCAUUAAACUGCUUGUAUGAAUAGGUUUCUGAUGAUUAAUACAUUAAUUGUUAAAGUUAUGUCUUUGGUUUUAAAUACCAUGAUUUCAGUCCUUUUUUGCUAGACAUUUCACUUAGGAUAUAUUGAACACUUCCUUUGAAAUAAUGUAGCAGCACAUUCAGAGAAAUAAAUCUCCUUCAUUGUUAUCAAAUUCCUGUUGAAGUGUUAAUGUAUCUUCUUAUGCUCGCCUCAACAUAUAGAAAAUAUGUCUCUGUAUGUUUAUUUCAUUUGAAGUUUAAGAAACAUGCCUAUUGGACUUUAUCAAUUUUGCGCAUGCUUUGAAUGCAGGUUCGUGUAAGUGUCUAUAAUUUUAGGCUAGAACUCCAGGAGCUAAUUCUUUUUUUUUAAGUGGCAUUUUCCUAAGCUAAUAUUCAGGUAUUGAUGAUAUAUACUUAAUGAUUUAAGAUUCUUACUCUAAUGACAAUAUUGUUUGGUUUAUUUUCAUGUCUUAAAACAAUACUUGUGGGAACAGACUUGCAUAUGUGAAUUAACUAGAAACUGGAUUAAUUUGACUACUAUGUGGUAUGAUCUCUCUUUAGAUAAGAACAUUUAUCUCGAUAUGCUUUUCUGUUAGACUUGAGAACUGCUUGCCAAUUUUUGUCUUUAUUUCCCUUUCUUUGCAUGUACACAUUUGGAGUAAAUCUUGAGUCUUAAUGCAAGACUGUUGGCCACGGCAUAUCCUCUAUUCCUAUAACUUCAGAUCUAUUAAGGAGAACAGCCUUCAAUUUGAAGAACUGGAGAUGAAGAUUGAAAUUUGAUGUACCAAUUAUAGACGAUACCAAACCCUUUUUAGUUAUUGGAUUUCAGAGAAUCGGGCGGACAACAUAGGGAGGAUAGCAGGAAGAACACCCAACCUUAAGAAGUUAAGAUGUAUAUUUGCUGAUUCAGGGUGUUGGGGAGAGAAUGAAAACCGCUUCCCUGUAUUGGACUCAUUAUCUCAACUUGAAACACUAAACGCGGUCUUCACUAGUAUUCCAAAGAUAGGUCCUUCAAGAUUAAACUUUCCAAUGAAUCUCAAGAAAUUGACAUUAUGCAAAUUUCGUCUGCCGCUUGAUGAAAUUUCAAUCAUUGACAACCUUUUCAAACUUGAGGUACUUAAAACUACAAGAAGUUGCCUUUGAAAUGCAUGAAUGGGAAGUGAGAGGUAAUGAGUUUCCUCAGCUCAAAUUCUUGGAACUAGAAAAUCUCAAACUCUCAAAAUGGAUAAUGUUUGACGAAGCCUUUUCUUUCCUCGAGAGAUAGGUUCUGGAUAGGUGUUUACAUCUCGAAGCAAUCCCUGGUUGUUUCGAGGACUUGGGUUAUUUGCAAUGCAUUGAAUUAAAAUCAUGCAGUGAAGAUGUUGCCGACUCAGCCAAGAACAUCGAAGAAACACGAGUUGGUAAUGGGCACAAAUGUGAAAUGAAAGUCUUUUCUUAGCAAUGGAAUAAUGAGGCUGCAUGUCUGCGACCUUCUGUUCAUUUUCAAUCCGAUUGCAGGGGCAAUCUUAAGCAAAUACUGGUAUUUAAAUCACUCUUUUGUAGUCCCCUCCAAUACAUUGCUUUACUGACUAUCUCAUGUAUAUUUUGCUUUCUCGCUUCAAUUAGUUGUCCUUGAAACCUAUCUAAACAAACUUUCAUUACACAUCCUGUAAAAUUUAGCUUAUAAUGAUUGAUUUUAAUGGACCUCUAUCCCUCUUUCUCA